AAGAGCACGAAGAAAAACCAUGAACAUCACAACAAUGACAGCAACAACAGAACUCUACCGAAGUACAGAACACAGAAAGUGGAAUUAUCAGAAAUGGGUUUCUCACUUUCUCUACCUUCUCAAGAAAUCCCUACGAAAAUGGGUUUCUUUACACCUUCACUUAUGAACAAUCUUCGUCUCAAUGCCUUCAAAAGACCUCGCCUUUCCACUCUACUCUGUUCUGCUCUCUCCACCAGCUCUCUCUCUCUCUUUCUCCUAUUUUAUUUCACAGUUUUUGUGGUAAACUUUCUGGGACAUUGUGAUUUUCUUGGUUUCUGUAGCUGCAGAAGUUUUGGGGUUUGUUUGAUUUCAAUUCCUUUGUGUUAUACCCAAUUUCGGAAUAUCUAGAAAUUGCAAAUUGUGAGAAACUUAAUUUUAUGGAAGGCGAUGACUACCCAACCAGGCUUCGAACACUCGUAUUUUUCAAGUGCCACAAUUAGUGACUUUACCCCAAGGGCUUAAAGGAUCUGCCAACACUUGGUGGUAUUGCCGGAGUGGCUUCCCAAUCUAAGUUCUCUUCGCAAACUUAAGAUUUGGGAUUGCCCAAAAUUAUCGUCUUUGCUAGAAGGUUUUCAUUUUCUCUCUCUAAAAGUGAGCUGAACAUGGUGUUAAAGAAUUUACUUGGUCUGUAUUUUCUUUCUUAGAGUGGAUGCGAUGGUAAAAUAUGAAAUUAAAAAAUUAAAACAAAUUAAUCCACACAUAGCUUGCAAUUUGAAGUCAUAUUAUCAAGGAAGUAUGAAAUCUAUAUUUUUGUGAAAUUGGCAUUAUUUUGAAUAUAUUUGAUUCUUCUUGUUUCUAAAUAGACAGAUGUUCUUGGGAGAUUGUUAUCUCAAAAAGGGAUGUUCCUUGUGCUUAAAAUUGCAACUGCUUAUCAAUUCAGCAAUAACAUGCAGCACGGAAAGUCUUAGCCUUCUCUUGUAUUGUAAAUAAUUUUAAUAAUAUUGUGGUGUGAAUUAAGGGUUGUAAUGGUUAAUGGAGUGAUGUGUGUUUAUAUUUAUGAUGUCAUUCAUAUUUCAUGUAUUAUCUAAUUUGCACAAUGUUUCAGUAACUUGAGUCAUGUAUUAUUGAUUGUUUGUCUCUGCUUCUUGGUUAUUGGAAUAACUCAAAUGAAACUCUCUGUUGUGCUAUAUCUUUUAAUUAAAUUUUUUUUGAAUAUUGAUCUUUUGUCGUAUGGUGUAAAAUACCUAAUGGUAUUAGAAUAUUUGGUAGGCCGACAAUAUGAAAAGUUGAAUUUGAUGGAAGUGGAAGGCUACCAAGAGGUUUGCUUUAGCCAUUAAUUACUGGUUCCGAAUGUCAAUUUCUUAUGAAAUUUUGGUAUUUUAUACUUUCAGAAUUGUCAUAUCUACUGAGGGGGAUGCAUGGCCUUAAUGCCCUAAGAGGACCGAAGACCGAAGAUUGUUCUAAAUCAAGAUGAAAAUUCUGAGGAGAUAUUGUUUUGUUAGGUUUUCAUGGAAGAUUGUUCUAAGGAAAAGGGAUUCCUUUAGCUAAACAUCUUUCCCUGGUGAGAUGUCUUAAUGUGACGAAAUCCAUGAUGAUGUCAAAGCAACUAAGAGACAUUGAAUUAGCCAUUAAAUUAGCUUAGUGUCUCAUUGUGUGCCCUUUUUUGAAUCUGUCUUUCUUAUAGGUCACACACAUUUUCAUUGCAAUGGUUUAUAGCUCACGACAUGCACCUAUGAUUGUAGGAAACAGACAGCAUAAGUAGAUCUCCAUGCUGUUGAAUUAUCAAAAAAAAAAAAACAGCAUGGAGAUCUACUUAUGCUCUCUGUCAGUGAUGGAUGGUCUUGAUCAUGAUUUUGACUUAAUGAUUACUAGUUAACCUUGUGAUUAUAGGCACAAAUAUGUAAGGUUAUACCAAGUUCUUGGCAUGUUAGGAUUGCCUUCUUGUUUCUUUUGGGUAUGAAUUAUCGGAGAUUAUUCAUUGAAGAAAUAUCAUUUUUUACUGGGUUUACUUGAA